AUUGAACGCUAGCGGGAGGCUUUACACAUGCAAGUCGAACGAGUGGCGGACGGGUGAGUAAUGUAUCGGGAGUGCCCGAUAGCGGGGGAUCACUACUGGAAACGGUAGCUAAUACCGCAUACUAUCGGAUAACCCAUAUGGGAUUAGCUAGUAGGUGGGGUAAUGGCUCACCUAGGCGACGAUCCCUAGCUGGUCUGAGAGGAUGAUCAGCCACACUGUGACUGAGACACGGCCCAGACUCCUACGGAGGCAGCAGUGGGGAAUAUUGCACAAUGGGCGCAAGCCUGAUGCAGCCAUGCCGCGUGUAUGAAGAAGGCCUUAGGGUUGUAAAGUACUUUCAGCGGGGAGGCGUUACCGACAGAAGAAGCACCGGCUAACUCCGUGCCAGCAGCCGCGGUAAUUC
rnacentral:rRNA from 1 species